rnacentral:rRNA from 1 species
CGCGCAGGCGGGUUGGUAAGUCAGAAGUGAAAUCCUACAGCUUAACUGUAGAACUGCUUUUGAUACUCCCGAUCUUGAGUAUGGAAGAGAGAGACGGAAUUCCAGGUGUAGUGGUGAAAUACGUAGAUAUCUGGAAGAACACCAGUUGCGAAGGCGGUCUCUUGGUCCAAUACUGACGCUGAGGCGCGAAAGCGUGGGUAGCAAACA